rnacentral:lncRNA from 1 species
ACAGUGCUGAUGGCAUGGCCUUUACUCCCUACUAAUUAUGCCUCCCUGAACUGACAGGAAGCUGAGGUGCCCUUCAGUUCAGUUUCAUAUUGAAAAAAAAAAAAAACUUGGUGGAAGGAAUUUGGAACUUGGAAGGGAUAGGGACUCUAAAAAAGGAACAACAGAGUCAAAUAACCUAGAAACUUGGGGGCUCCCAGAGGCUGAAUCACCAACCAAAGAGCAUGGGCUGAGUCUAGGCCUGUCCCUGCCACUCACAUAAAAGUAGCAGAUGUGCAGCUUGGUCUUCAUGUGGGACCCACAAACAGCUGGAGUGGGAGAUCACUCUGACUCUGCUGCCUGCCUGUGGAUCCUGUUCCCCUAUUUGGGCUGCCUUGCCUGGCCUCAAUGGGAGAGGACAUGCCUAGACCUGCAAUGACUUCAGGUGCCAGGGUCUUCUGUUGCAGUAGAAGCUUAUCAGGAAAAAGUCAUGGAAAACCUGAUGUACUACAGUGUGAGGAGGAAUCGAACGGACAUUCUCCUCAGCUUCCCUACACUCCUGAGAGCAAGGUCAUCUGGUCAGAGAACAGCAUUAUCUGUUCCUGAGGAUGCUCAUUUCAUUGCUACCCUCUGUGUACUGGGUCUCACUGAUGAAGUGUAUCUGGACAAUCUCAAGGCCAAAUGCCCAGCAUGCCUAGUUCUCCAGAACGAGGAGUGAGCAGAGACAACCCAUUCCAGGAGCUAGUCUCCACGCCCAUGUCUCCAACCCAUCCCAGGCCUGCACAAGCACACUCUCCAGGUGACCUCUGCUGCAGGUUACAUCCACCAUAGCUGUUCCCACUUCCUCACCACUGUGAAGAGGAAGUCUGAUAACAUUUUCUUCAUAUCAAAAGAGAGUCUUUCUCUUCUCAGGAAGGUUUUCUCAAUUCUGACUCUUCCUGUUGCCAUGGUGAUACUUAAGUGAUUCUUUGGACACCCUUAAAUAAACCGCCCAUUGUUGUAUAUGAUAGAAGCAUUUGGCUCUGGUUCUUGUGUUGGGGUCCAGGUUUGGGGCCC